rnacentral:misc_RNA from 1 species
GUUCUGAUUUUACGUCCGACUCUGAGGAUUUUAGUCUGAUAGUUGAUACUAAUAGGUUGCGAGGUGAUGAACAAGGGGUUUCCAGCUCAGUAGAUAACAGUAUGCCAAACUCGGUCUCCCUAAAGGAAAAAGCUAAAGUUGGCAAAGCUAAAGGGAAUUCGCUGAAGGAUGAGUUGUCUUAUCUUAUGCAGUCUGAUAGCCCUCUUGUCUCUGCCAAAAGGCACAUAGAGAGGUUGGACUACAAAAAGCUGCACGAUGAAACAUAUGGAAAUGGGUCUUCUGAUUCUAGUGAUGAAGAUUAUGAUGAUGGUCCUUUACCCAAGGUGAG